UGUAGCUUGACAUUGGGUCUUGGUACUACAUGUACAGGAUAGGUGGGAGGCUUUGAAACCAGGACGCCAGUUUUGGCGGAGCCAUCCUUGGGAUACCACCCUUGUAGUACUGGGACUCUAACCAUAGGCCAUGAAUCUGGUCUUGGGACACUGUCAGGUGGGCAGUUUGACUGGGGCGGUCGCCUCCCAAAAGGUAACGGAGGCGCUCAAAGGUUCUCUCAGUACGGUCGGAAAUCGUACGUAGAGUGUAAAGGAAAAAGAGAGCUUGAUUGCAAGACAUACAGGUCGAGCAAGGAUGAAAAUCGGACUUAGUGAUCCGGUGGUUCUGCGUGGAAGGGCCAUCGCUCAACGGAUAAAAGCUACCCUGGGGAUAACAGGCUUAUCUCCCCCAAGAGUCCACAUCGACGGGGAGGUUUGGCACCUCGAUGUCGGCUCAUCACAUCCUGGGGCUGUAGUAGGUCCCAAGGGUUGGGCUGUUCGCCCAUUAAAGUGGUACGCGAGCUGGGUUCAGAACGUCGUGAGACAGUUCGGUCCCUAUCCGUCGCAGGCGUAGGAAAUUUGAGAAGACCUGUCCUUAGUA
rnacentral:rRNA from 1 species